CCUGCUGUCGAGGUGUGCGUACCUACCUAUCGUUGAGUCGACGAGAGCAUACGAUAUCUUAAUUUUCCGAUCGGCAGAAAAAUGCGGAAAAGUGUCUCUGGAUCGUGAACUUACUAGUGGACACUUUCUAGGAACUGGAUUUAACCAGAGAAAGAAUGAAGCCUAGUGACUACGGGACGUGAUGACGCCAUGAGACAAGAUGGCGUUAUGCCUCACGAGGAGUCUCAACAGCUCCUCUCAGCACCGUUGCCCAAUAAAGGAGAGAUCAGCCCGAGGAGCAACUUGAGUGUUACCAUCCUUGACCUGCAAAGUGCCAUCAGACAGCGAGACCACAGAUCCCAAUCAGAG